AGGCCUUUCCCCUGGAAGGGGCCCGUACACUGAAAGUGGACCAAUACAGAGACAAUUAGCCUGACCCCAGACCAAGGAAGACACACAAAUUUGUGAAGUUGCCUAGUGGGGA
ensembl:snRNA U6 U6 spliceosomal RNA